GGAAAUUAAAACGGUGUCAAACAAUAUCAAACUUCUUCUUGAGAGAAGAAUUAAUCCCACUAUAAUUCAAAAAAACAAAAUUACUAAUAAAAAAUCCAAAAGAGGACGUGAUAUUUUAUGUUUUAAUGAUUUAGAAUAUACCAUCCAUAGAGUAAUAAAUGCCACAUCGUAUUACAGGUGUAGACAAAGGAGUUGCUUAGGACGGGGUAUUUUACAAUCAGGUAGGUUCACAGAGAUGCAGGAUCAUACCAUAGAACAGUGUAAAUCACAUAUUGGCAAUAUGUUUACUCCAUGUCAACCCUUAGUAACACAGAACAUGCAACCUGUUAAUGCCAUAUCAAGCAAUAUAUGUGCCCCAUCUCAACUCUCUGUAGCAAACUACUAUAACUAGCAAUAUGUUUACUCCAUGUCAACCCUUAGAAUUUGCUGAUAAAGCAUCAGCUUAUAUUAA